GCAAGGUUAACCGAAUAGGGGAGCCGGAGGGAAACCGAGUCUUAAUUGGGCGUUAAGUUGCAGGGUAUAGACCCGAAACCCGGUGAUCUAGCCAUGGGCAGGUUGAAGGUUGGGUAACACUAACUGGAGGACCGAACCGACUAAUGUUGAAAAAUUAGCGGAUGACCUGUGGCUGGGGGUGAAAGGCCAAUCAAACCGGGAGAUAGCUGGUUCUCCCCGAAAGCUAUUUAGGUAGCGCCUCGUGAAUUCAUCUCCGGGGGUAGAGCACUGUUUCGGCUAGGGGGCCAUCCCGGCUUACCAACCCGAUGCAAACUGCGAAUACCGGAGAAUGUUAUCACGGGAGACACACGGCGGGUGCUAACGUCCGUCGUGAAGAGGGAAACAACCCAGACCGCCAGCUAAGGUCCCAAAGUCAUGGUUAAGUGGGAAACGAUGUGGGAAGGCCCAGACAGCCAGGAUGUUGGCUUAGAAGCAGCCAUCAUUUAAAGAAAGCGUAAUAGCUCACUGGUCGAGUCGGCCUGCGCGGAAGAUGUAACGGGGCUAAACCAUGCACCGAAGCUGCGGCAGCGACACUGUGUGUUGUUGGGUAGGGGAGCGUUCUGUAAGCCUGUGAAGGUGUGUCGUGAGGCAUGCUGGAGGUAUCAGAAGUGCGAAUGCUGACAUAAGUAACGAUAAAGCGGGUGAAAAGCCCGCUCGCCGGAAGACCAAGGGUUCCUGUCCAACGUUAAUCGGGGCAGGGUGAGUCGACCCCUAAGGCGAGGCCGAAAGGCGUAGUCGAUGGGAAACGGGUUAAUAUUCCCGUACUUGGUGUUACUGCGAAGGGGGGACGGAGAAGGCUAUGUUGGCCGGGCGACGGUUGUCCCGGUUUAAGCGUGUAGGUGUGUGUUCCAGGUAAAUCCGGUUCACUUUAACACUGAGGCGUGACGACGAGGCACUACGGUGCUGAAGCAACAAAUGCCCUGCUUCCAGGAAAAGCCUCUAAGCAUCAGGUAACAUCAAAUCGUACCCCAAACCGACACAGGUGGUCAGGUAGAGAAUACCAAGGCGCUUGAGAGAACUCGGGUGAAGGAACUAGGCAAAAUGGUGCCGUAACUUCGGGAGAAGGCACGCUGACACGUAGGUGAAGUGAUUUACUCAUGGAGCUGAAGUCAGUCGAAGAUACCAGCUGGCUGCAACUGUUUAUUAAAAACACAGCACUGUGCAAACACGAAAGUGGACGUAUACGGUGUGACGCCUGCCCGGUGCCGGAAGGUUAAUUGAUGGGGUCAGCGCAAGCGAAGCUCCUGAUCGAAGCCCCGGUAAACGGCGGCCGUAACUAUAACGGUCCUAAGGUAGCGAAAUUCCUUGUCGGGUAAGUUCCGACCUGCACGAAUGGCGUAAUGAUGGCCAGGCUGUCUCCACCCGAGACUCAGUGAAAUUGAACUCGCUGUGAAGAUGCAGUGUACCCGCGGCAAGACGGAAAGACCCCGUGAACCUUUACUAUAGCUUGACACUGAACAUUGAGCCUUGAUGUGUAGGAUAGGUGGGAGGCUUUGAAGUGUGGACGCCAGUCUGCAUGGAGCCGACCUUGAAAUACCACCCUUUAAUGUUUGAUGUUCUAACGUGGACCCGUUACCCGGGUUGCGGACAGUGUCUGGUGGGUAGUUUGACUGGGGCGGUCUCCUCCUAAAGAGUAACGGAGGAGCACGAAGGUUGGCUAAUCCUGGUCGGACAUCAGGAGGUUAGUGCAAUGGCAUAAGCCAGCUUGACUGCGAGCGUGACGGCGCGAGCAGGUGCGAAAGCAGGUCAUAGUGAUCCGGUGGUUCUGAAUGGAAGGGCCAUCGCUCAACGGAUAAAAGGUACUCCGGGGAUAACAGGCUGAUACCGCCCAAGAGUUCAUAUCGACGGCGGUGUUUGGCACCUCGAUGUCGGCUCAUCACAUCCUGGGGCUGAAGUAGGUCCCAAGGGUAUGGCUGUUCGCCAUUUAAAGUGGUACGCGAGCUGGGUUUAGAACGUCGUGAGACAGUUCGGUCCCUAUCUGCCGUGGGCGCUGGAGAACUGAGGGGGGCUGCUCCUAGUACGAGAGGACCGGAGUGGACGCAUCACUGGUGUUCGGGUUGUCAUGCCAAUGGCACUGCCCGGUAGCUAAAUGCGGAAGAGAUAAGUGCUGAAAGCAUCUAAGCACGAAACUUGCCCCGA
rnacentral:rRNA from 1 species